rnacentral:other from 1 species
CACAAGCUGCGUUGUUCGUAAUCAUAAUAAAGUUUUAACCUUUGAGCUGUAAUAGGGAGUUUUAUAUAGGAAUUGGAAUGACAGGCCUCUGUCUAUAAGACAUGGAGGACAUGCAGAAAGGUUCCUGCGAACACCCACUUUGAGGAGUGGUGGUUUAAAACUUUCUUAUCAUUACAUUACGGCAAAGGCGGCUGUAC